rnacentral:rRNA from 1 species
UCGAGCGAAGCAGUAAGAAGAUUCUUCGGAUGAAACUUGAUUGACUGAGCGGCGGACGGGUGAGUAACGCGUGGGUGACCUGCCCCAUACCGGGGGAUAACAGCUGGAAACGGCUGCUAAUACCGCAUAAGCGCACAGAGCUGCAUGGCUCGGUGUGAAAAACUCCGGUGGUAUGGGGUGGGCCCGCGUCUGAUUAGGCAGUUGGCGGGGUAACGGCCCACCAAACCGACAAUCAGUAGCCGGCCUGAGAGGGCGACCGGCCACAUUGGGACUGAGACACGGCCCAAACUCCUACGGGAGGCAGCAGUGGGGAAUAUUGCACAAUGGGGGAAACCCUGAUGCAGCGACGCCGCGUGAGCGAAGAAGUAUUUCGGUAUGUAAAGCUCUAUCAGCAGGGAAGAUAAUGACGGUACCUGACUAAGAAGCCCCGGCUAACUACGUGCCAGCAGCCGCGGUAAUACGUAGGGGGCAAGCGUUAUCCGGAUUUACUGGGUGUAAAGGGAGCGUAGACGGCAAGGCAAGUCUGAUGUGAAAACCCAGGGCUUAACCCUGGGACUGCAUUGGAAACUGUCUGGCUCGAGUGCCGGAGAGGUAAGCGGAAUUCCUAGUGUAGCGGUGAAAUGCGUAGAUAUUAGGAAGAACACCAGUGGCGAAGGCGGCUUACUGGACGGUAACUGACGUAGAGGCUCGAAAGCGUGGGGAGCAAACAGG